CUCGUCACAAGAGGCGGAGGGCCUCCGAGAGGAUCCCCGGGCAAUCGCGCUCGCCCGCAACCGCGAGGCGAGCUGCGUAAUUUUGAGGAAGGGUCGCGGAUAUAUUUGGUGUUGGCGAGCGAUCUCGUAUCGACGAGUGCGAGAUUGCUUUUCUUUUUCUUUUUGGACGAUACUCCCGCGUCCCUAUAAUGUGUGUGCCCCUUCGCCGCGAGUAGCCUCCGACCAGCAGGAGCAGCGAACGAGGGAAAGUGGACCGAGGUGGAAGGAGGGGAGGAAUCGAGGAGCCGCUGCGAGCACUAAGGGAUCUCUCAGGUCAUGUCGUUGGCCCGCCCCUAUUUUGUUUUCGAACAAUUGUGCCGUUAACAUCGCACUGCUGUCGAUGUAUUUUUGUAUAUUGUCGUAGCCAAGAAAAUAAACCGGGACACGACACCUGAUAACGAGGAACCUGGAUCACGCGGAAGAUGCUCGUCGAAAGAAAAGAAAAUAUAAAGCAACAUCUCGAUAUCGCGUGAUCCCGGAAGGAAAAAAAAGUUGAGCAGGGAAGGAGCAACCGGAGCAACGUCUCUCGGGAUCGGAGGAGAAAGACUUAGGGUGGAAUUACGAUGAACUUUACGUAACGGGACGCGACGGGACGUGAAGUGACGUGACGUGAAUUUGACGUUUGAGGUUAUAUUACGAUCACCGUAACGUGCCGUAAUAAUGAAUUCUGCUGUGAGGCAUUAUCAAUUUGUAAAUUUAAUUUUGGCCGGGUAUUUGUAUCUUCAACUGCAGAAGAGGAAACGAAUACGAACCAUUGGUGUGAGAGAUAUUUUUCGAAGAAGAAUUCAGUUUGGUGACAGGCAUAACCUAGUAGAAGAACUCCGUUUUUGUAAUCCACAUUUAUUUUUUAUUUACACAAGGAUGAAUGUCGAAAGAUUUGAAUACUUGUUGAGCUUGGUUGGUCCACUUUUAAAGAAACGAGAAAUGUAUACUGCUCUUUCACCCACUCAGAGGCUUGCUAUGACAUUGAGGUUCUUGACAGCAGGAGACAGUCAGAAUUCUCUGAGUUUUUCUUAUAGAUGUGGCCAGAGCAUGUCUCUAAGAUCUUGGCCGCAAUCAUUCGAACACUUGUUUGUGUAUUAAAAAAUAUGUUUGUGAAGCCUGCUUUAAAUAAUGCAGAGUGGCUUGAGUUAUCUGCUGAAUUUUGGAAAGAAUGGCAGUUUCCUCAUUGCGUGGGAGCUAUCGAUGGAAAGCACGUUCAAAUACAAGCCCCACAAGCUUCUCAAAGAGACGCAGCUUUCCCUCUAAAACCUUUUCUUAUGAAACCCUAUGCUGCUCGUUGGAGAAUUUUUCGUCGCCCUAUUAUUGCCAAAGAAGACAAUGUGGAAAGCAUCAUUGAAUGUGCCGUUUGCCUCCACAAUUUCAUCCGCAAGACAGGUGACAUAAAACUCAACUUGCAGUAUUGCCCUCCUUCUUUUGUGGAUCAUGAAUUGCUAACUGGCGAACUAGUAGAGGGAGCAUGGCGUGACAUUGUUGCUGGAGAAAAUGGAGCUAUCAUUAAUGAUUCACAGAUAGGUGCAAGAAAUGCUGCUCUUAGUGUCAUACAACAGAGAAAUGUACUGAAGGAAUUCGUGAACAGACCUGGGGCUAUGCGCCAUCAAGAUAUUAUUGUAAGGAUACGGCAAAGAAUUAUCCCCUCUCAG
rnacentral:misc_RNA from 1 species